GACGAACGCUGGCGGCGUGCCUAAUACAUGCAAGUCGAGCGCAGGAAAUCGACGGAACCCUUCGGGGGGAAGUCGACGGAAUGAGCGGCGGACGGGUGAGUAACACGUAAAGAACCUGCCCUCAGGUCUGGGAUAACCACGAGAAAUCGGGGCUAAUACCGGAUGGGUCAUCGGACCGCAUGUUCCGAGGAUGAAAGGCGCUUCGGCGUCGCCUGGGGAUGGCUUUGCGGUGCAUUAGCUAGUUGGUGGGGUAAUGGGCCACCAAGGCGACGAUGCAUAGCCGACCUGAGAGGGUGAUCGGCCACACUGGGACUGAGACACGGCCCAGACUCCUACGGGAGGCAGCAGUAGGGAAUCUUCCACAAUGGACGAAAGUCUGAUGGAGCAACGCCGCGUGAACGAUGAAGGCCUUCGGGUCGUAAAGUUCUGUUGUAAGGGAAGAACAAGUGCCGCAGGCAAUGGCGGCACCUUGACGGUACCUUGCGAGAAAGCCACGGCUAACUACGUGCCAGCCGCCGCCGUAA
rnacentral:rRNA from 1 species